rnacentral:piRNA from 1 species
UGCUGUGUCACAAGGAUGAAAAAUGCAGC